CGCAGGCGGUCAGAUAAGUCGAAUGUGAAAGCCCCCGGCUCAACUGGGGAGGGUCAUUCGAUACUGUUCGACUCGAAGGCAGGAGAGGGAAGCGGAAUUCCCGGUGUAGUGGUGAAAUGCGUAGAUAUCGGGAGGAACACCAGUGGCGAAGGCGGCUUCCUGGCCUGUUCUUGACGCUGAGGCGCGAAAGCUAGGGGAGCAAACGG
rnacentral:rRNA from 1 species